UGAACUGCUAGAAAAAUUACCUUCUGAUUGGAUAAAGAAAGGAAUUGGAAAUUGUUAUUAUGCCACUGUAGAAGCAAAAUCUUCAUAGUGCUAUGUCAUCUCUGGAACGUUUUGAAGAUGUGGAUCGAACAUGGGAAACAGUCGAAAAGACUAUAUGGGGUCAUAUUGCCAACUUCUUUAAACUUGCUAAAGAAAGCCCUCAAUUGUUGGUGCGCUAAGGUAUUUGAGGAAUGUGCCACUGAAAACAAGAAAAAGCAGAGUAAGCCUCAGGAGAAAAACCAUUAACAUAUCAGUGAAGG